AGCAGCCGCGGUAAUUCCAGCUCCAAGAGCAUAUAUUAAAGUUGUUGCAGUUAAAAAGCUCGUAGUUGGAUUUCUGGUACAAUGCACCUGGCCCGCGGCCUCUUAGGCUUGUGAGUGCCGGCGCGCGUUUACCAUCCUUCCAGCAACGCUACCCUUAACUGGGCGGUGGAACUGGAUCUUUUACUUUGAAAAAAU
rnacentral:rRNA from 1 species